GCGGCUGCACCACUGGGAUACCCUGAUCCAACAUCGAGGUCGUAAACCCACCUGUCGAUAGGGGCUCUUGGGUGGAUUGCGCUGUUAUCCCUAGGGUAACUUGGUUCGUUGCUCAAGAUAUUGGGUCAAUUUAUGUCAGUUUGUUGGUGCUUAAAGUUGUGGCUUUUGGCUCAAGAGUAGUUCUGUUCAUCAUGGAGGAUAAUUUUUGCUCCGCGGUCACCCCAACCCAAAACUAAUAAUCAAAAGGCUAGAGUUAACAUGAGAACCCUGUGGAAUAAAUGGAUUAAAGCCAGUGUUAUAUAGUUUGAAGCUCCAUAGGGUCUUCUCGUCUUAUAUUUUAAUCCCCGCUUCUUCACGGGGGGAUUAGUUUCAUUGAUUAGAAAAAGGAGACAGUAUAACCUUCGUGAUGCCAUUCAUACUAGUCCUCAUUUAAAGAACAAGUGAUUACGCUACCUUCGCACGGUUAGGAUACCGCGGCCGUUGAACUGGGUCACUGGGCAGGCUGGACCUCUUAUAGGGGGGCAAGAGGCGAUGUUUUUGGUAAACAGGCGAGGUUAAUAUUUGCCGAGUUCCUUCUUUUGCUUUUAAUCUUUCUUGAAAUGUGCUAGUGUUAGGUUAACGUUAAAAGUAACAGGGUUUUCUAGAGGGGUUGCUGUUAUAAAAUCAUAAACGUUAAUUAUCAGUGGCUGGUCCUUUCUGAUUUACACUUACAUUUAAGAGAAGGGCUAUCUUCUUAUUACUAGUUUCAACAUAAGGGCUUCUAUAGUGUUAUAGAAUAACUUAAUACAAAUAAAGGG
rnacentral:rRNA from 1 species